rnacentral:rRNA from 1 species
AUUACCGCGGCUGCUGGCACGGAGUUAGCCGGUGCUUAUUCCGCAGAUACCGUCAGACACCCUUAAAAGGAUGCUUUUCUUCUCUGCUAAAAGCAGUUUACAAUCCAUAGGACCUUCAUCCUGCACGCGGGAUGGCUGGUUCAGACUUUCGUCCAUUGACCAAUAUUCCUUACUGCUGCCUCCCGUAGG